AGUCCUGUGACGCAGUGGCUAGCGUGUCGUUCUUAUAAUGCUUUUCUCCCCGAGAAGAAUUAUGGCCUUGAAGGUUAUGCGAAAGUCGUGGGUUCGACCCCCACCAGGACUA